AGAGAGAGACAUGCGCGCAUAUCAAUAAGCGGAGGAAAAGAAACUAACAAGGAUUCCCCUAGUAACGGCGAGUGAAGCGGGAAGAGCUCAAAUUUGAAAUCUUCAAGGUUUUACCUUGACGAAUUGUAGUUUAAAGAAGUGUUUUCUGUUGGAAUUUUGGUAAAGGUUCUUUGGAAAAAGACAUCAAAGAGGGUGAGAAUCCCGUAUUUGACCAUCAUUUCCAGCUUUGUGAUACACUUUCAAAGAGUCGGAUUGUUUGGGAAUGCAGUCCAAAAUGGGUGGUAAAUUUCAUCUAAAGCUAAAUAUUGGCGAGAGACCGAUAGCGAACAAGUACCGUGAGGGAAAGAUGAAAAGAACUUUGAAAAGAGAGUUAAACAGUACGUGAAAUUGUCAAAAGGGAAGCGUUUGACACCAGUGUUGUUUUCUCGAAAAUCAAUUAAAAAAGGCCGGAUUUUGUGUUGUAUUGACUUUAUCAGCUUUCUGCACUUUUUCUUGUCUUUUUUAAUGCACUUUUCGUUUAACAAGUCAACAUCAAUUUCUUUUGUUGUAAAAGGGUCAUUGGAAGGUGGCUUUCUUUUCGGAGAAAGUGUUUAUAGCCUUUUAUCUCUGCAGUCGGAGAGAUUGAGGUCUGCAGCGUAGAUCCUUCGGGGUUAGAUGCAUUUGUGCUAAGUUAUAGCCUUUCAUAGACAACUUGUUGACUAUGAUCAGUCAUGUAGCUUACUCGCUUAUGUCAUUUUACCUACGCUUAGGAUGUUGACAGCAGUAUAGACUGU
rnacentral:rRNA from 1 species